GACGAACGCUGGCGGCGUGCUUAACACAUGCCAGUCGAACGGAAAGGCCCUGCUUUUGUGGGGUGCUCGAGUGGCGAACGGGUGAGUAACACGUGAGUAACCUGCCCUUGACUUUGGGAUAACUUCAGGAAACUGGGGCUAAUACCGGAUAGGAGCUCCUGCUGCAUGGUGGGGGUUGGAAAGUUUCGGCGGUUGGGGAUGGACUCGCGGCUUAUCAGCUUGUUGGUGGGGUAGUGGCUUACCAAGGCUUUGACGGGUAGCCGGCCUGAGAGGGUGACCGGGCACAUUGGGACUGAGAUACGGCGCAGACUGCAACAGGGGGCAGCAGUGGGAAAUAUUGCGCAGUGGGCGGAAGCCUGAUGCAGCAACGCCGCGUGCGAGAAGAAGGCCUUCGGGUUGUAAACCGCUUUAGCCUGUGACGAAGCGUGAGUGACGGUAAUGGGUAAAGAAGCACCGGCUAACUACGUG
rnacentral:rRNA from 1 species